ensembl:lncRNA
GUAGCUAGCACUGCAGUGAAUAAAAUGUGGUGAGUAGUUGACUCAAAGAGAGAGAAAGACAGUAGUUGAACAGUUUUGAACAAAAUCAUUUCUUCCAAAAUGAAGGAGAAGCAAGAGAGAAAUAGAGAGAUAUUCUCAUUUUUUUCGCUUUCAGUUUCACUUAAUUAGAUUUAAAAUGCAGAUAGCUAGUUUAGCCUACUUAAACACCCUGCUCAAACAGAGGGAUGUUUUGUUAGCUAGCUGGCUAUGACUUUCAAACACAACACUGGAACCCUUCCAAGUCAAGGGGACCUGAGCCCUAGCACCAUGCCUCAGGACUACCUGGCAUGAUGACUCCUUGCUGUCCCCAGUCCACCUGGCCGUGCUGCUGCUCCAGUUUCAACUGUUCUGCCUACGGCUAUGGAACCCUGACCUGUUCACCGGACAUGCUACCUGUCCCAGACCUGCUGUUUUCAACUCUCUAGAGACAGCAGGAGCGGUUGAAAUACUCUUAAUGAUCGGUUAUGAAAAGCCAACGGACAUUUACUCCUGAUGUGCUGACCUGUUGCACCCUCGACAUCUACUGUGAUUAUUAUUAUUUGACCAUGCUGGUCAUUUAUGAACAUUUGAAUAUCUUGGCCAUGUUCUGUUAUCUCCACCUGGCACAGCCAGAAGAGGACUGACCACCCCUCAUAGCCUGGUUCCUCUCUAGGUUUCUCCCUAGGUUUUGGCCUUUCUAGGGAGUUUUUCCAAGCCACCGUGCUUCUACACCUGCAUUGCUUGCUGUUUGGGGUUUUAUGCUGGGUUUCUGUACAGCACUUUGAGAUAUCAGCUGAUUUAAGAAGGGCUUUAUACAUCAAUUUUAUGAUCCUCAAAACGUUUUACAGCUGCACCAUCGAGAGCAUCCUGACUGGUUGCACCACUGCCUGGUAUGGCAACUGCUCGGCCUCCGACCCCAAGGCACUACAUAGGGUAGUGCGUACAGCCCAGUACACCACUGGGGCCAAGCUUCCUGCCAUCCAGGACCUCUUUACCAGGUGGUGUCAGAGGAAGGCCCUAAGGACUCCAGCCACUCUAGCCAUACUGUUCUCUUUGCUACCUCAUGGCAAGCGGUAGUAGAGUGCCAAGUCUAGGUCCAAAAUGUUUCGUAACAGUUUCUACCCCCACGCCAUAAGACUCCUGAACUACCAAUCAAUACUUUUUCCCAGACUAUUUGCAUUAACCCCCCCCAACCUACAUGUACAUAUUAUCUCAAUUACCUCGACUAAGCUGUGCCCCCCACAUUAACUCUGUACCGGUACCCUCUGUAUAUAGCCUCACUAGUGUUAUUUUAUUGUUGCUCCCUAUUUUCUUAUUUUAAAAAAAACAUUUUAUAAAUUUUUUACCUCUGUUUAUUUUAGUAAAUACUUUAACUUAUUUUUUCUUAACUGCAUUGAUGGUUAAGGGCUUGUAAGUAAGCAUUUCAAUGUAAGUUCUACACCUAUUGUAUUCGGCGCAAUGUGUCAAAUACAUUUAGAUUUGAUUUAAUCCCAUCAGCUCUAGCUAAGUGUUCAUAUGGUGGAGGAGAGCAUCUGAGUGAGAGGGGGAAAUAGGCAGACUUCCUCCGCACAAAGAGCGUGAUAGAAAUCCUGAUGAGAGUGCUGAAAGGGCAGCAGAGUAAAGUAGGAACUAUGGUCACUUUUGUCUUAUUCCUAUUGUGGGUGAGUCAACAGUUGAAGGUUGGGACCAGAGAAACGCAGUGUAUGUUUUGUUUUUUUGUCCAAGGUACACCAAUGUUGCUUUUGCAAAAAAAAUGUUUUUAAAUAAAAGGUGAAACAAACUGAA